rnacentral:lncRNA from 1 species
AUUGUCAAAACCAGAAGUGCCACAACUUCCCAAACCUGAGCUCCCUAAGAUUCCUGAGUUGCUCCCAAAACCAGAGUUGUCUAAAGUUCCUGAACUGCCUAAACCAGAGUUGUCUAAAGUCCCUGAACUGCCUAAACCAGAAUUGCCUAAAGUCUCUGAACUGCCUAAACCAGAGUUGCCUAAAGUCCCUGAACUGCCUAAACCAGAGUUGCCUAAAGUCCCUGAACUACCUAAACCAGAGUUGCCUAAAGUCCCUGAAUUGCCUAAACCAGAAUUGCCUAAAGUCCCUGAACUACCUAAACCAGAAUUGCCUAAAGUUCCUGAACUGCCUAAGAUCCCUGAAUUACCUAAGCCAGAGUUGACUAAAGUCCCUGAAGUGCCUAAGCCAGAGUUGACUAAAGUACCUGAGUUGCCUAAAUUCUCAGAAGUGCCUAAGUCUGAGUUGCCCAAAGUACCUGAGUUACCUAAAGUCCCUGAAGUGCCUAAGUCUGAGUUGCCCAAAGUACCUGAGUUACCUAAAGUCCCUGAAGUGCCUAAGUCUGAGUUGCCCAAAGUACCUGAGUUAUCUAAAGUCCCUGAAGUACCUAAGUCUGAGUUGCCCAAAGUACCUGAGUUACCUAAAGUCCCUGAAGUACCAAAGUCUGAGUUGCCCAAAGUUCCUGAAUUGCCUAAAUUCGACUUGCCUAAAAUUCCCGAAUUGUCUAAACCAGAGUUGCCUAAAGUACCUGAAAUUCCUAAGCCUGAGUUGCCUAAAAUACCAGAAAUACCAAAACAUUAAAUGCCUUAGAUGCUUAAGGUUCCUGAACUUUCUAAGCCAUAGUUGUCUUCAAUAUCUAGUAAGCCUAAAGUUCCUAAAAUAUUUUCAACCAUUCUUUGAGCUUGAAUCAUGUCUUUUGUUGUCUUGUCCUUAGGUGAUAAUUGGAUGCAUUAUAGUGCCCAAUUUUUACUCUAAGAUGGAAGUGAUGCGAUUCAUAUUAAAUUUCACUUGUGUGUAAUAUGUCAUAACUACUUGAGAGUUAAGUAUCUUGGUUUAUUUGUGUUUUGAACAUUUCUAUGUACUUUAUAUAUGGUGUAAAAUGUUGUUUAAAUCGAUUAUAUUUAUACCACAACAUACUAACACACGUAUCUUCAUGUGUUAAAUGUUGUGAAUUUAAUAAGAUUGUAUUUGCUUAUUAUAA